rnacentral:ncRNA from 1 species
AUUGCAGACAGAGAAGAGAUCGGCAAGCACCGACACCGAAGGGGCAAGCGUAUGGAAUGGCAUUCCACACGUGAAUCUCUCAGGUACACAAGACCCUGUCACAUGC